UACGUAGGGGGCAAGCGUUGUCCGGAAUCAUUGGGCGUAAAGAGCGCGUAGGCGGUCCGGUAAGUCGGUUGUGAAAACUGAGGGCUCAACCCUCAGAGGCCGACCGAUACUGUCGGGCUAGAGUCCGGAAGAGGCGAGUGGAAUUCCUGGUGUAGCGGUGAAAUGCGCAGAUAUCAGGAGGAACACCAAUGGCGAAGGCAGCUCGCUGGGACGGUACUGACGCUGAGGCGCGAAAGCGUGGGGAGCAAACAGG
rnacentral:rRNA from 1 species